UCGCCGCCGCGUACGGCAGCCUAGCAUAACGUUGGUCAUUGAGUUCUCACCAAUUUACCCUUUAAACGAGUGGCCGAGGUAUAUUUUACCCUGGAGAUGUGUGAAAUAGCGGUUUGGCGAUAUGACGUUUCAGGUCAGGUCGUCGCUGCCGAAGCUUUUAAUGUAUGAGAGAAGUUCAAAUGACAGCGGCCUUGAUGGAUUUCGUUCUCCAGGCAGGAGACAAAAUGUUGAUCAGAGGAGCAAGUUUCCACUUAUCAAACCGCUCGGCAGUGAGACUUUGCAGGGGACCAGAACUGUGAUUCCUCCGCUGCAUACUGACCAUCUCCACAGACCUGGCAACUUACGUCCCUACAAUCUCUCCAAGGAGCUUUUCCACAGCCAUGCAGCGCGGCUCUGCACCCUGAGGUGCCAAAUGUGGACACGCCUCAUAGAUGUUCCAGAGAAGAUGUGAAAAUUAGUGCUUUUAAUGUGUGAACUGAAGCAAAAUCCAGCCAUCCUCUUUCCUUCAACUUUAGUCCUCAAAGGCAGAAGCCCCUUCUCAAUGCAGAGCUGCAAGUUCAGCAGGCCGAAGGUGGAUUAUCCAGUCUUCAACCUGCUGCCUUUUGGAGACAAGAUGAAAGACCAGUCGUAUCCGGAUCCGAUUAUUGGAGCCUCUCGCUCUUUCAUUCACAGGAUAUCUGAGCUGUUGUCUUUAGAGGGCGACACGGUAAGACAGGAGAAGCUCAAGAAAACACGGAAACAUAAAAAACAUCCAUCCUGACAGUUACCUUUCCCCAAACCACACUGGCUGAGGGUCAACACUUUGCACACUGUGCCAAGUUUGUCUGAACAAACAAAAACAUUUCAGUCAGCCUGGUCCUUUCGGUGGCUCGUGAUCACUGC